GCCGCCCGCGCCGCCGCCAACUUUGGGGACAGCGAGCCCAGCGCGGAGCCGAACCCGGGAGCGCCCCGCCAGACACAAAGCUGCCAGCCAAGAAGAGCAGUCAGCACAGGACCUUCUGAAGAAGCACUUAUCCUAAAUUCGCCACCACAAUAAAUGUAACACAUCCUGGGUGUGGAGCAGCACAGUCCUCAGUGAUGAAGACCUGUGAGCAUGUUUAAUACAGCAGAAAAGACAACGUUAUUUAUAUCUCACAAAGCUGCUUACCCAGCAUUAGAUGUGCCCGGCUGUAGCACAACUGCAGGAAUCCAUCAGGAGGACACCUGAGAUUCCUCUCCAUUAAAAGUGAUGGAUCUAACACAGCCAACCAUCUUCAUGGCAACAAAUGUUAUCUUAAAAGACGGGAGAUAAAAGUUCACAGGGAAGCUGUGCAAAUUCAUGAAAAGAAAAAUGCAUUCCUGGUGACUGAACGCACAGAAGUCUGUCUCCAGAAGUCUGUGUGUGCUGAAAAAUGUCUGGAAGACAGGAGAUGAUUAGCAGGAAAUAUGCAAGCUUCUCCUCCUUGAAUCGUUCUCCAAACAUCCAUUAGCCACUGGUUUGAUUUUAUUUUAAGAGUCAGAACUGCUUUAUUGAUUACAGCCAACAGCUGCAAUUCAGUAGUGGUCCCAGACAAACAAAGUAGUUCUUUCCUAACAAAGACAAUUUCUGACAUUCUGUGAAAGGAGAUGACAACACCAUUACUGAGA